GAGAGAGAGAGAGAAAGAGGGAGGGAGAGAGACUGUGAAAAGAAAAAAGGAGUGAUCGAUCUAGAUUUAGAAAGAAGGAGAAGAGGGAUCCGAUUCUGGGUUUGUUUUGUGUUGCUCCGGGGAAUUUGAAGUUUAGUGAUCGUGUUGGAAGGAAGUGUGAAAGGAGAAGAGGUAAUCGUCCAGUUCCGGAGGAAGGUUUGGGUUUGUUUUAUGAAUUUGGAUUUAGUUUCUUCUUUUCUGCUUAUUGUCUUCUCUGAUUGUCCGCUUUUUCUGUAAACAAUUUUUUGAUGGGUGGUUUAUAGGUUGAAAAAGAGUGGGAGCAUUUCUCAGUUCGUGUAUAGGCGAGGAAAUCCAAAUUCAAAUCACAACCAUUAACAAGGGUGAAAAUUUGGCUGAGCAUUGAAUUUGUAUGUUGUCGAAAGUCUAGCUAUGCCUCUGAAAAGUGAAAACCAACCAUUACUUCAAUGUACAAGUGGGAGAGGAGAGGCAGCAACCAAUACAC